UCCUUUUUGUAUUCCCUUUUCUCUUAAAUUAUUUACUUUCCUUAAAUGGCUUGUUAGUUAAUCAUGCUAUCUUGAAAAGAAAAUAAAAAUGUUAAAAAUAGUAAGCCCCAUGUGAGUAUGCUCAUGGCAUAAAACCCAUAAGUACAUUCACUGUAGUGGCGUAAAAAUAAAAGAAAUAUAUUACUGUCCUAUAGAAAUGAAAAUAUAAAAAUAAAUUUAUGAUCCUACCAAAGAGAGUAAUAUUUAUUAGAGGAAGCUCAACAUGAUAAAGGCAAAGAGAUUUUAUGCUAACACUUAACCAGUUCCACAAAGCUUUGUUGUCUAUUUGAGCUCCACAGAAUUCAAAGAUCAAGAAGACUAGUAGAUGGAGGAUAUCCUAAUCGCUGUCAGGGUGCUGCCGACAUUCAAAUACACCUUUGCCACCUGCUAGCUACAUCAAAAGAAAUUACGUCAAAAUCCAGCUUGGGAGAGAGCACCCCCAUUUAUCCAACUAAGUGUUUCUAUCUACGUUUAUACUUAUACUUUGUUAAAAUAAUAAAAAGAUACAUAAUCAUAAAAACCCAAAUAAAGAUUUUGUGCUUAU
rnacentral:lncRNA from 1 species